rnacentral:rRNA from 1 species
GACGAACGCUGGCGGCGCGCCUAACACAUGCAAGUCGAACGGAGCUGAGAGAAGCUUGCUUUUCUUAGCUUAGUGGCGAACGGGUGAGUAACGCGUGAGUAACCUGCCCUGGAGUGGGGGACAACAGUUGGAAACGACUGCUAAUACCGCAUAAGCCCACGAUCCGGCAUCGGAUUGAGGGAAAAGGAUUUAUUCGCUUCAGGAUGGACUCGCGUCCAAUUAGCUAGUUGGUGAGGUAACGGCCCACCAAGGCGACGAUUGGUAGCCGGACUGAGAGGUUGAACGGCCACAUUGGGACUGAGACACGGCCCAGACUCCUACGGGAGGCAGCAGUGGGGGAUAUUGCACAAUGGGGGAAACCCUGAUGCAGCGACGCCGCGUGGAGGAAGAAGGUUUUCGGAUUGUAAACUCCUGUCGUUAGGGACGAUAUUGACGGUACCUAACAAGAAAGCACCGGCUAACUACGUG